UAAAAGAGAGGAGUGCUAGACAGGGCUGGGCUGGGAACGAAAAGCAGCCCUGGAAAAAAAUUCUAUACCAGCCCAAUAAUGCAUGGUUGUAUAGGGAGAGGGCUGGUAUAGAAUUUUUUUCCAGGGCUGCUUUUCGUUCCCAGCCCAGCCCUGUCUCUUUUUCGUUCCCAGCC
rnacentral:miRNA from 1 species